UCCUAUUAAUAUUAGGGCUGUAGGUUUCCAAACCCUUAGUGGCGUCUGCAUUCAUUGUAGGAGUAGAAGGAUGUUUAUUAAUCCUUUUCCCGUGAUGCACUUUAUACUACCUUGGGUCUGGUAUCAUUUUCACACUUUUGAAUCAAAAUCAUAAAGAUGAUCAUCAUAAGGCAUAAAAAAGUUAACAUGCUCGUAUCUAUUUUAAUUUGAUAUGAAUGAUGCCAUCUGCUUUUCUGUGGCGGGUAGUUGAAGGAGGAGGAUGUACCAGUUGGGAAGUGCAGAAACAAAACAAUAGGGUAUUUCUGGUGGCUGAUGGUUAUUUUAUCUGGUGGUUAUUUUAUCUUUCUUUUCUUUUUUUAAACAUGCUCAGUCACGAGUGAGGAAGCAAAAAUCAAUGUUAGGGAGAAACAAACAAAGAACAAAAAUUGAAUUAUCAAAUUAGCUUGUAUAAAGAUCACAAGUGAAGAACUUGAUAAAGUGAAUGUUAAGCAGGAAAGCCUUGUCCCUGUAGGUCCUGUGUGCAGAGUUCAUGCAUCAGCAGGUCAGAGCUCUGAGCUCUAGUUGUAGCCUGCUUUGGAUUGUAAAUUGC